rnacentral:rRNA from 1 species
CCUACGGGAGGCAGCAGUGAGGAAUAUUGGUCAAUGGGCGAGAGCCUGAACCAGCCAAGUCGCGUGAGGGAAGACGGUCCUAUGGAUUGUAAACCUCUUUUGCCGGGGAGCAAAAAGCGGUACGUGUACCGCAUCGAGAGUACCCGGAGAAAAAGCAUCGGCUAACUCCGUGCCAGCAGCCGCGGUAAUACGGAGGAUGCGAGCGUUAUCCGGAUUUAUUGGGUUUAAAGGGUGCGCAGGCGGUCUGUUAAGUCGGCGGUAAAAGCCCGGGGCUCAACCCCGGCCCGCCGUUGAAACUGGCAGUCUCGAGUUGGAGAGAAGUAGGCGGAAUGCGCGGUGUAGCGGUGAAAUGCAUAGAUAUCGCGCAGAACUCCGAUUGCGAAGGCAGCAUACCGGCGCGCAACUGACGCUCAUGCACGAAAGCGUGGGUAUCGAACAGGAUUAGAUACCCUUGUAGUC